CACGCCCUAAACGAUGCGAACUGGAUGUUGGGUGCAAUUUGGCACGCAGUAUCGAAGCUAACGCGUUAAGUUCGCCGCCUGGGGAGUACGGUCGCAAGACUGAAACUCAAAGGAAUUGACGGGGGCCCGCACAAGCGGUGGAGUAUGUGGUUUAAUUCGAUGCAACGCGAAGAACCUUACCUGGUCUUGACAUGUCGAGAACUUUCCAGAGAUGGAUUGGUGCCUUCGGGAACUCGAACACAGGUGC
rnacentral:rRNA from 1 species